UGGGGAAUAUUGGACAAUGGGCGAAAGCCUGAUCCAGCAAUGCCGCGUGAGUGAAGAAGGCCUUAGGGUUGUAAAGCUCUUUUACCCGGGAAGAUAAUGACUGUACCGGGAGAAUAAGCCCCGGCUAACUCCGUGCCAGCAGCCGCGGUAAUACGGAGGGGGCUAGCGUUGUUCGGAAUUACUGGGCGUAAAGCGUACGUAGGCGGUUAUUCAAGUCAGAGGUGAAAGCCCGGGGCUCAACUCCGGAACUGCCUUUGAAACUAGAUAGCUAGAAUCACGGAGAGGUAAGUGGAAUUCCGAGUGUAGAGGUGAAAUUCGUAGAUAUUCGGAAGAACACCAGUGGCGAAGGCGGCUUACUGGACGUGUAUUGACGCUGAGGUACGAAAGCGUGGGGAGCAAACAGGAUUAGAUACCCAAGUAGUCCCUGAGCGGGCUGGCAAGGCGCAU
rnacentral:rRNA from 1 species